rnacentral:rRNA from 1 species
GCAGUCGAGCGGACUUGAUGAGAAGCUUGCUUCUCUGAUGGUUAGCGGCGGACGGGUGAGUAACACGUAGGCAACCUGCCCUCAAGUUUGGGACAACUACCGGAAACGGUAGCUAAUACCGAAUAGUUGUUUUCUUCGCCUGAAGGAAACUGGAAAGACGGAGCAAUCUGUCACUUGGGGAUGGGCCUGCGGCGCAUUAGCUAGUUGGUGGGGUAACGGCUCACCAAGGCGACGAUGCGUAGCCGACCUGAGAGGGUGAUCGGCCACACUGGGACUGAGACACGGCCCAGACUCCUACGGGAGGCAGCAGUAGGGAAUCUUCCGCAAUGGGCGAAAGCCUGACGGAGCAAUGCCGCGUGAGUGAUGAAGGUUUUCGGAUCGUAAAGCUCUGUUGCCAGGGAAGAACGCUUGGGAGAGUAACUGCUCUCAAGGUGACGGUACCUGAGGAAGAAAGCCCCGGCUAAACUACGUGCCAGCAGGCCGCGGUAAUACGUAGGGGGAAAGCGUUGUCCGGAAAUUAUUGGGCGUAAAGCGCGCGCAGGCGGUCAUUUAAGUCUGGUGUUUAAUCCCGGGGCUCAAACCCCGGAUCGCACUGGAAAACUGGGUGACUUGAGUGCAGAAGAGGAGAGUGGAAUUCCACGUGUAGCGGUGAAAUGCGUAGAUAUGUGGAGGAACACCAGUGGCGAAGGCGACUCUCUGGGCUGUAACUGACGCUGAGGCGCGAAAGCGUGGGGAGCAAACAGGGAUUAGAUACCCUGGUAGUCCACGCCGUAAACGAUGAGUGCUAGGUGUUAGGGGUUUCGAUACCCUUGGUGCCGAAGUUAACACAUUAAGCACUCCGCCUGGGGAGUACGGUCGCAAGACUGAAACUCAAAGGAAUUGACGGGGACCCGCACAAGCAGUGGAGUAUGUGGUUUAAUUCGAAGCAACGCGAAGAACCUUACCAGGUCUUGACAUCCCUCUGACCGGUACAGAGAUGUACCUUUCCUUCGGGACAGAGGAGACAGGUGGUGCAUGGUUGUCGUCAGCUCGUGUCGUGAGAUGUUGGGUUAAGUCCCGCAACGAGCGCAACCCUUAUAUUUAGUUGCCAGCACUUCGGGUGGGCACUCUAGAUAGACUGCCGGUGACAAACCGGAGGAAGGUGGGGAUGACGUCAAAUCAUCAUGCCCCUUAUGACCUGGGCUACACACGUACUACAAUGGCCGGUACAACGGGCUGCGAAAUCGCGAGAUGGAGCCAAUCCCAACAAAGCCGGUCUCAGUUCGGAUUGCAGGCUGCAACUCGCCUGCAUGAAGUCGGAAU